CCCUUAGACGUUCUGGGCCGCACGCGCGCUACACUGACAAAGGCAACGAGCUUUCCUUUACCGAAAGGUACGGGUAAUCUUUUGAAACUUCGUCGUGCUGGGGAUAGAUCCUUGCAAUUUUUGAUCUUAAACGAGGAAUGCCUAGUAAGCGCAAGUCAUCAACUUGCGUUGAUUACGCCCCUGCCCUUUGUACACACCGCCCGUCGCUACUACCGAUUGAAUGGUUUAGUGAGGCCUUCGGAUCCGCGACUCGUUUUGUGGAGAAGUUGGACAAACUCAGUCAUUUAGAGGAAGUAAAAGUCGUAACA
rnacentral:rRNA from 1 species